AUUGAACGCUGGCGGAAUGCUUUACACAUGCAAGUCGAACGGCAGCACGGACUUCGGUCUGGUGGCGAGUGGCGAACGGGUGAGUAAUGUAUCGGAACGUGCCCAGUCGUGGGGAUAACGUAGUGAAAAUUACGCUAAUACCGCAUACGAUCUAUGGAUGAAAGCGGGGGAUCGCAAGACCUCGCGCGAUUGGAGCGGCCGAUAUCAGAUUAGGUAGAUGGUGGGGUAAAGGCUCACCAAGCCAACGAUCUGUAGCUGGUCUGAGAGGACGACCAGCCACACUGGAACUGAGACACGGUCCAGACUCCUACGGGAGGCAGCAGUGGGGAAUUUUGGACAAUGGACGCAAGUCUGAUCCAGCCAUUCCGCGUGCAGGAUGAAGGCCCUCGGGUUGUAAACUGCUUUUGUACGGAACGAAAAGGUUUCCAUUAAUACUGGGAGCUCAUGACGGUACCGUAAGAAUAAGCACCGGCUAACUACGUGCCAGCAGCCGCAGUAA
rnacentral:rRNA from 1 species